rnacentral:misc_RNA from 1 species
GAUGAAGAACGGAGCGAAAUGCGAUAAGUAAUGUGAAUUGCAGAAUUCAGUGAAUCAUCGAAUCUUUGAACGCACAUUGCGCCCGCCAGUAUUCUGGCGGGCAUGCCUGUUCGAGCGUCAUUACAACCCUCAGGCCCCCGGGGCUGGCGUUGGGGAUCGGCGGAGCCCCCCGUGGGCACACGCCGUCCCCCAAAUGCAGUGGCGGUCCCGCCGCAGCUUCCAUCGCGUAGUAGCUAACACCUCGCGACUGGAGAGCGGCGCGGCCACGCCGUAAAACACCCAACUCUUCUGAAGUUGACCUCGAAUCAGGUAGGAAUACCCGCUGAACUUAAGCAUAUCAAUAAGCGGAGGA